GACGAACGCUGGUGGCGUGCCUAAUACAUGCAAGUCGAGCGGACCAAUAGAAGCUUGCUUCUGUUGGUUAGCGGCGGACGGGUGAGUAACACGUGGGCAACCUGCCUGUAAGACUGGGAUAACUUCGGGAAACCGGAGCUAAUACCGGAUAAUUCGUCCUCUCGCAUGAGGGGAUGCUGAAAGUCGGUUUACGCUGACACUUACAGAUGGGCCCGCGGCGCAUUAGCUAGUUGGUGAGGUAAUGGCUCACCAAGGCGACGAUGCGUAGCCGACCUGAGAGGGUGAUCAGCCACACUGGGACUGAGACACGGCCCAGACUCCUACGGGAGGCAGCAGUAGGGAAUCUUCCACAAUGGACGAAAGUCUGAUGGAGCAACGCCGCGUGAGCGAUGAAGGCCUUCGGGUCGUAAAGCUCUGUUGUUAGGGAAGAACAAGUAUCGGAGUAACUGCCGGUACCUUGACGGUACCUAACCAGAAAGCCACGGCUAACUACGUGCCAGCCGCCGCCGUAA
rnacentral:rRNA from 1 species